AUGAACGCUGGCGGCGUGCCUAAUCCAUGCAAGUCGCGCGAACAGACGAGGAGCUUGCUCCUCUGACGUUAGCGGCGGACGGGUGAGUAACACGUGGAUAACCUACCUAUAAGACUGGGAUAACUUCGGGAAACCGGAGCUAAUACCGGAUAAUAUAUUGAACCGCAUGGUUCAAUAGUGAAAGACGGUUUUGCUGUCACUUAUAGAUGGAUCCGCGCCGCAUUAGCUAGUUGGUAAGGUAACGGCUUACCAAGGCAACGAUGCGUAGCCGACCUGAGAGGGUGAUCGGCCACACUGGAACUGAGACACGGUCCAGACUCCUACGGGAGGCAGCAGUUGGGAAUCUUCCGCAAUGGGCGAAAGCUUGACGGAGCAACGCCGCGUGAGUGAUGAAGGUCUUCGGAUCGUAAAACUCUGUUAUUAGGGAAGAACAAAUGUGUAAGUAACUAUGCACGUCUUGACGGUACCUAAUCAGAAAGCCACGGCUAACUACGUG
rnacentral:rRNA from 1 species